UGAGGACACUACUACUACACAGAGACCAAGAUAGAACAGGAGAAGGUGAGGACACUACUACUACACAGAGACCAAGAUAGAACAGGAGAAGGUGAGGACUACUACUACUACACAGAGACCAAGAUAGAACAGGAGAAGGUGAGGACACUACUACUACACAGAGACCAAGAUAGAACAGGAGAAGGUGAGGACACUACUACACAGAGACCAAGAUAGAACAGGAGAAGGUGAGGACACUACUACUACUACACAGAGACCAAGAUAGAACAGGAGAAGGUGAGGACACUACUACACACAGAACAGGAGAAGGUGAGGACACUACUACUACACACAGAGACCAAGAUAGAACAGGAGAAGGUGAGGACACUACUACUACUACACAGAGACCAAGAUAGAACAGGAGAAGGUGAGGACACUACUACUACACAGAGAC